rnacentral:rRNA from 1 species
UACGUAGGGGGCGAGCGUUGUCCGGAUUUAUUGGGCGUAAAGAGCGUGUAGGCGGCCAGGUAGGUCUGCUGUGAAAACUCGAGGCUCAACCUCGAGACGUCGGCGGAAACCAUCUGGCUAGAGUCCGGAAGAGGAGAGUGGAAUUCCUGGUGUAGCGGUGAAAUGCGCAGAUAUCAGGAAGAACACCGAUGGCGAAGGCAGCUCGCUGGGACGGUACUGACGCUGAGACGCGAAAGCGUGGGGAGCAAACAGG